CCAAUAGCGUAUAUUAAAGUUGUUGCAGUUAAAAAGCUCGUAGUUGAACUUCGGGGUUUACCCAUUGGUCAGGCUUAAUUGUCUGUACUGGUGAGAUGAAUCUCUACCUUCUGAGGAACUUUCAUGCCAUUAAUUUGGUGUGAUUGGAAAUCAGGACUGUUACUUUGAAAAAAUUAGAGUGUUUAAAGCAGGCUAACGUCUGAAUACAUUAGCAUGGAAUAAUGAAAUAGGACGGACUGAUUCUAUUUCGUUGGUUUCUAGGAUCACCGUAAUGAUUAAUAGGGAUAGUUGGGGGCAUUAGUAUUCAAUUGUCAGAGGUGAAAUUCUUGGAUUUAUUGAAGACUAACUACUGCGAAAGCAUUUGCCAAGGAUGUUUUCAUUAAUCAAGAACGAAAGUUAGGGGAUCGAAGACGAUCAGAUACCGUCGUAGUCUUAACCAUAAACUAUGCCGACUAGGGAUCGGACGAAGUUAAUUUUAUAAUGACGCGUUCGGCACCUUACG
rnacentral:rRNA from 1 species